AUGCAACCAGCUAGUGAAAAAGCUACAUCCGUCAAUCCAAAAAGGGUGGGGGAGGUGGGGAGGGAGAAGGAGGAUAGGCUGUCCGAGCAGUUAAUUAGAUUCAUGGCGCGGCGGCCGGCUUGUGGCCGCAAAUGGCAAGGGGCAGGGGGAGAGGAAGGUGGAAGAGGAAGUCAUGUGUGGUUGGGUGUUGAAGACGACGGGGGAGAUGAGGGUAAGAUCGCUGAGCGGUGCUUGGUCCCACACAAGCACGUGGGGCGCAAUCGACUGAUCGACCUGUUGGAAACGUACGUGCGGCCACAAUGA
rnacentral:rRNA from 1 species